AUGCAUGUCUAAGUACAGGCCUAAGUAAGGCGAAACCGCGAAUGGCUCAUUAAAUCAGUUAUGGUUCAUUGGAUCUUACCCUUUCUUACUUGGAUAACUGUGGUAAUUCUAGAGCUAAUACAUGCCAACCAGUAGCUCCGACACACUCCCGUGUGGAAGAGCGCUUUUAUUAGAUCAAAACCAGUCCUCCCUCGGGAGGUCAAACCCCUUCGUGGUGACUCUGAAUAACUUUUAGCUGAGCGCACGGUCUCCGCGCCGGCGCCGCAUCUUUCAAGUGUCUGCCUUAUCAGCUUUCGAUUGUAGGUUAUGCGCCUACAAUGGCUAUAACGGGUAACGGGGAAUCAGGGUUCGAUUCCGGAGAGGGAGCCUGAGAAACGGCUACCACA
rnacentral:rRNA from 8 species